AUAACGGUCCUAAGGUAGCGAAAUUCCUUGUCGGGUAAGUUCCGACCCGCACGAAAGGCGUAAUGAUUUGAGCGCUGUCUCGACAAUGCAUCCGGUGAAAUUGAAGUACCAGUGAAGAUGCUGGUUACCUGCGCCAGGACGGAAAGACCCCAUGGAGCUUUACUCCAGUUUGAUACUGGGAUUCGGUACUGCAUGUACAGGAUAGGUGGGAGACGAAGAAGGAUGGACGCCAGUCUGUCCGGAGUCGCUGUUGGGAUACCACCCCUGUAGUACUGGGUUUCUAACCAGUUGCCAUGAACUGGCAAUGGGACAAUGUCAGGCGGGGAGUUUGACUGGGGCGGUCGCCUCCGAAAGGGUAUCGGAGGCGCUCAAAGGUUCCCUCAGAAUGGUUGGAAACCAUUCGAAGAGUGCAAAGGCAGAAGGGAGCUUGACUGCGACACCGACGGGUGGAGCAGGUACGAAAGUAGGACUUAGUGAUCCGGUGGUAUAAAGUGGGAUUGCCAUCGCUCAACGGAUAAAAGCUACCCUGGGGAUAACAGGCUUAUCACUCCCAAGAGUUCACAUCGACGGAGUGGUUUGGCACCUCGAUGUCGGCUCAUCGCAUCCUGGGGCUGUAGUAGGUCCCAAGGGUUGGGCUGUUCGCCCAUUAAAGCGGUACGCGAGCUGGGUUCAGAACGUCGUGAGACAGUUCGGUCCCUAUCUGUCGUGGGCGCAGGAUAUUUGAAGGAAGCUGUCCCUAGUACGAGAGGACCGGGAUGGACGCACCUCUGGUGCACCAGUUGUCACGCCAGUGGCACAGCUGGGCAGCUAUGUGCGGAUCGGAUAAACGCUGAAAGCAUCUAAGCGUGAAGCCGGCCUUAAGAUAAGAUAUCCCACUGAGUCAAUCAGGUAAGACCCCUUGAAGACUACAAGGUUGAUAGGCACACAGUGUAAGCGGAGUGAUCCGUUCAGCUAGCGUGUACUAAUAGGUCGAGGGCUUGACCCC
rnacentral:rRNA from 1 species